AGAGUUCCGACUGAAAUUUGAGAAGCUCUUUGCUAUUCAAGUGGAUAUGUGCAGUUGACAGUUUGAGAGAUGCAUCUAGGGUUCAGUAAAGACAACACAAGCCUGUCUUUAGGGUCUACCUGUGAACUGUGAACACAGCAAUGAGAAUGAUGGACAUCACCUUUAAGUAUUUUUCUAGACUUUAUUACUCAUGUGUUUGUCAUGAGGUGUAACUUAGUAGUUCAUAGUCCUAUAAUGUAUGUUAUUGACUAGGUAGCAUUUAUUUUUCUAAUUGUUUCUGUUAUAGUGCUGCCACAUGUGUUUCCCAGAAACGCAUUUUACCCACAGUUCUUAGGGUUGGCCUGAUUAGUUUAAUUGCUGUCUGAACCUGCUUCUUACUGUGAUUAGUUCAGGAAUCUAGAUCAAACUCAUUGGCAUUUAACAUUUCAGGAAGUGAACUGAGUAACAACUAACUCAGCAGGGGAGUGUAGUAUGCUAUUAUCUUUUGGGAAAGCAGCUUAUUUGCUUUCAAGAGGCAGCAGGAGGAUGGACUGUCUUUAGGUAUGAAGGCAAGAAUGAUUAUAGACAAUAUGCAGAGGAGGACACAGUGUGGGAGAAUCAGGGAACUGAGCCACUCAUGGAGUUCAGCCAACCUUGGAUCCCUGCUGCACCUUUGGACUUCCAGUUAAGCCAAUUUGUCUGACAUAUUUACUUAUACCAGUUUGAAUCUUGAAAUAUUUCAGGAAUAAUAAUUUCCUAGAUAAAAGGAAAGACCUUUCAUGAAAGGUCUCAAGUCAAAUAGGGUCAAUUAGGACAGAGUUGCUCCAAUUACAUAUUUGGAACAGAUGUCCAAAUGUUAAUACUUGACUAAGGCUAAAGACUAAUAUUACCAUCACAGGAAAAAUGUCCAGGGUUUUUUUUCAGAUGUGAAAUUUUAUUUAAAAAUUUUAAAUAAACUAAAUCAAAAAAUUUUAGUAGUUGUACUAAUUUCCUGGGGCUGUCAAAGUACCACAAACUGUAUGGCGUAAAACAACACAAAGUUAUUCUUUCAUGGUUUUAGAGGCUAGAAGUUUGAAAUCAACGUGUUGGUAGGGCCAUGCUCUCUCCAAACCCACUAGGGGAAGACUCCUGUCUUUCAGUGUCUGGUAGCCCCACUUGUUCUUUGGUUUCUGGCAGCAUAACUGUAAUCUCUACCUCAGUUUUUUCAUGUAUGUCUCCAUGUUUUUUUACUUUCUUUCUUGAGAUGGAGUUUCACUCUUGUUGCCCAGGCUGGAGUGCAGUGGCAUGAUCUUGGCUUACUGCAACCUCUGUGCCCCGGGUUCAAGCAAUUUUCCUGCCUCAGCCUCCCGAGUAGCUGGGAUUACAGGCAUGCGUCAGCACGCCCGGCUGAUUUUGUAUUUUUGGUAGAGAUGGAGUUUCAUCAUGUUAGUCAGGCUGGCCUCGAACUGACCUCAGGUGAUCCACCUGCCUUGGCCUCCCAAAGUGCUGGGAUUACAGAUGUGAGCCACUGCACCCGGCUGUCUCCAUGUCUUCUUAUAAGGGUAUCAGUCAUACUGGAUUAGGGCCCACCCUAAAGACCUCAUUUUAACUUGAUUACCUCUGUAAAGACCCUGUUUCCAAAGAAGGCAAAAUUCUAAGCAACUAGGGGUUAGACUUCAACAUAUCUUUCGGGGGGACACAACUCAACCCAUAACAGUAGUCAAUGGCUGUGGCAGGCUAAAUGUGGCUCCCAAAUAUGUCCAUAUCCUAAUCCCUACAGCCUGUGAAUAUUACCUUAUAUAGCCAAGAGGAUUUUGCAGAUGUGAUUCUGAGAUUGAGAGAUUAUGCCAGAUUAUCCAGGUAGGCCCCAAAUGUAAUCACCACAGUCCUUAUAGGAGAGGCAAGAAAGUCAAGUGUAGAAGGAGGCGAUAGAAGGAGAGAGGGAUUUGAAGAUUAAUAGGCUGCUUGCUUUGAAGACAGAGGGAAGGGACCAUAAACCAGAAAUAAACCUCUAGAAGCUGGAAAAGGCAUGGAAAUAGACCCUCCCUUAAGGUCUCUGGAGGGAGUGCAGCCUUGAUUUCUACCGAGUAAAAUUGAUUUUGUACUUCAGACCUCCAAAACUGUAAGAGAAUGACUGUUGUUUUAAAACCAUUGAGUUUGUAGUAAUUUGUUGCAGCAGCCACAAGAAACUAAUACAACAUCUAUAUAGAAUUUUUUCAAUAAUUGGAGAAAUUUGAAUAUGGAUUGCAUAUUAAUAUUACUGAAUCAGCAUUAAAUUUGUUAGGUGUAAUAAUGUGAUUGUAGCUAUUUAGGAGAAUAUCCUAUUUUUAAGAGACAUGCCACCAUAUUUAGGGAGAAGUGCCAACAUAUUUGCAGUUUAUUUUCAAAUGGUUCAGAGGCUGUCUGUGUACAUGAGAAGACAAAGAUAAGGCAAAUGCAGCAAAAUUGUAAUAAUUGGUGAAUCCAGGUGAAGGGACUAUGGCUGGUCUUUGUACUUUUUUUUCCAACUUUUCUGUAGGUUUAAAAUUUUCAAAAUAAAAAAAUGGGAAAUACUUUAAAAAUUGUAAUCAAAGACAUUAGUACAGAAACUUUCAUAAUGUAUUUUAUUUUUACAGUAAAAUUAAUUUAUGUAAAUUGAUAGAAUUUUACUAAUUUCACUCCCAAGUUACAUUAAAAGGCUUACAUAUGUUUGAUAAUAGCAUAUGUAAACUAGAACUCUGAAUGAUAUCCAUUGGUCAUAAUACGUACUAUGUAGCGGUAAUGGUGACUUUUGUGAUUGCACAAGUCUAGAGAUGCCCCAAAUGACAUUGACUUAGACAUCUGGUUAUUCUAAGGCUGAAACUGAAGUUGAAUAGAAGGUUUUAGUCAAAUACUGAGAUGAAAACUGAGGCAGUCCUGGCGGGGGGGAGUGAGUGUGUGUGUAUAUAUACACACAUAGACAUCAUGCUUCUAAACAUUUACAGAAAGAAAGGGUAGAUUAUCUACAAAAAAAUAAGAAUCAGACUGAUAUGAGAUCUUACAAACCUAACCCCCUUCUCUUUCCUAAACUCCAGAUUCUCAUAUUUCUGACUUCCUAUUUGAUAUUUACACUUCGAUAUUUACCAGGAGUCUUCAACAUUUUGUUCAAAACAGUACUCUUGGUUUUCUUCCUCCAAGACUACUCCUUACUCAUAUCAGCAAAUAGCAGCUCUUUUCAAGUGCUCAGUGUAAAAACCUACAAUUAAUCCUUGAUUUCUCUUUCAGUCAGCCUAUACUAAAUCAAUUUCAUUUAAAAUAUCUCGGCUACUACUCUGCAUCUCCACUGCUACCAUCGGCCUCUCCAGUCACAUUCUCCAAGAGCACUCUAUCUCAUUUAAAAGACAAAAUCUCUGCAGUGGCCUGUGAUGCUCCUUAAUGGCCUACAUAAUCCAGCCCUCAAGCACCUCCGUGAUCUCUGUAAAACUUUCCCUUGGUCACUGUGCUUCAGCCACAUUAACCAGCUUGCAUAUUUCUCACAUUCACCAAGCUUGUUCCUGCCUUGGGGCCUUUGUACUUACCAUGUUCUGUUCUGAGAAUACUCUGCCUCAAGAUAUCCUACAACUAUCUUACUGUAUUCAGCUCUCUGCUCAAGUAUUAACUGAUGAAACCUGUCAUCCCUACUCCACUCCAUGUUCUGCUUUACUUAACAGCAAUUGCACAUAUGGCCCCCUGAAUAAUAUACAUUUAGUCACUUAUUUUUACUUAUCUGCUAAUUAAAAUGUAGACUUUUUCUAUUCUGUUUACUGCUGUAUUCCCAGCAUGUUUUAUCCGAAUGUGCAGUGGUUUCUUUUCUUCUCCCUUAUCGUGGGAAGUGAUGUGCACAAAUACACAUAAUGGAGCCUGAAUGUCAUAUUGCUUUCAUACCUGUGUGAAUUUUGGUAAGAAAGGAAAAGUAGCGAUUGACAGGUAAUAUAAUUACAUUAAGUCACUCUCAUAGUUAGCUGUUUAUUGCUUUCCUGCUCUUAUUCUCAGUCCCCAGGACCAAAUGUUGACCACUACCUUCCCCCACAUAUAAUUAGGUUAUUUACCGAACGCCAUGCAGGUGGCUGUUAAAAGGAAGAUAUAUACUUACCUUAUAAACUCAACUUUUCCCUGUUGUCUUUCUGUCUCACCCCUACCUCCAUGCUUUAAAUUAACUUUUCAGGCUUAGGCCUUAUCUCUCAGUAGAGCCAUAUAAGGUAUGUGUAAAAGCAGGAAAAUGUUUCCUGGGGAUGAAGCUUUGAAAAGCUUUUUUUUUUUUUUCUUUUGGCAAUAAAAUAAGGUAGAUUCAGCACAAUACCUAAUAACUAAAAAAUCUGUUUUUAAUUGGGUGGGGCAGACAGCAAGUGUGUCAUCCUGGAAGAUACUAUUUGGGAUUUUAUGUAGGUACAUAAGAGAAAAAAGUGAACAAAAGCAAGGGGCUACCAGGACGCCGCAGUAUGCUUAACAUGUAUUUUCUAAGUUUGUAUUAUGCCUUUAUCUUGGUACUUUUAUCUUCUGUUCUCACUUGAUCUUUUUGAAAUGUAUUUUAAAUCCUAAUAAAAAUAUAUAAAGUCUGGAAUUAAUAAAGGA
rnacentral:lncRNA from 1 species